UUUCCCUUAGGAUAGCUGGAACACGUAAUAAAGCAGUUAUAUUCGGUAAAGCGAAUAAUUAGAGGAAUUGUGGGACGAAACGUUUUCAACCUAUUCUCAAACUUUUAAUGAGUAUGACAUCUUGCUUGCUUGAAUGAAACAUAGACAUUGAAUGUGUGCUCCAAGUGGGCCAUUUUUGGUAAGCAGAUCUGGCUU
rnacentral:ncRNA from 1 species